GGUGGAAGGAAGCUCAUAAGGGGGCUAUCAACUGAGUACUUCUGGUCACUCUACAUGAAUGCCCCUAGGGAAGUCUUAGACUAGGGCCAUAAAAUGGACCUAACCAGAGCUUUCCCAGAUUCAUGGAGGUGAGUCCCCAGAGAACAAGGGCUCCAUGUAAGGGCAGAUUGGGCAAGAGAUGAAAUGUUUGGUACCCUUGGCUAAUUUUUUUUAAAGAAUGUAUUUAUUUAUUCAUGAGAAAGAUAGGAGGAGAGAAAGAACCAGACAUCACUCUGGUACAUGUGCUGCCAGGAAUUGAACUUAGGACCUCAUGGUUGAGAAUCCAAUGCUUUAUCCACU
rfam:Erinaceus europaeus unplaced genomic scaffold scaffold00265, whole genome shotgun sequence